GCCUUGGUGGUGUAGUGGUAGCACACAAUCCCCGUGUUGAUGAGACUCGGGUUCAACUUCCGACUGAGGCU